AAAAACGACCAAUAAUUUAAUAUUAGUUUAUUGACAAAAUACUCUAGCGACGAAACAGUGAACCAUUUAUCUCACUAAGAUGUAACGUGCAAUAUGUUGAACAUUAAUCUCUAUCUAGAAAAGAUAGUGUCUAAGGAAUAAAUUUGUGAGGACAAGCGAAUGGAGAAGUUCGCUGGAAUUGUCACGAAAAAUAGAUAGAUAGUCAUCCAUAAAUGGAAUUCGCCAAAAGUCGACAUUGAAAUUCUUGCAUUAAUUAUUGCAACUGUGAAAACUGCGAUAAAGGGAAUAAAACUACGCUCUAUUGAGUCAGUUUGUUAUUGAAAUAAUCGAUAAAGUAAAAAUAACAUUAAAAUGGAAGGAGAUUUUUAUAAAUCCAAAUAUUAUAUUCCUGAUUUUUUUUGGAUUUGAAGGUUCUUAAUGGAUUAUUGAAUAAGUAUCCUUACCAUCUCCGUAAAGGUAUAAACUAAAUGAUGCAGACGCGAGUUAAAGAUCGAUAAAAUGGCUACAAUGAGUCUCCAUUCAAUAGACAUCGUAAACAAGCGCCGCGCGCGCGUACACAAAUUAUCAUAAUGAUAUUACAAUCUCAAUUAACAGAUUGUCGACAUCGUAAAUCGAUUUUUUCUUCUCUUUACAUUGUAUUGAUUUACGAUAAUCUUAAAUCUCUCAAAAAAGAUAU